UAACUGACUGAGCCACCCAGGCGCCCCAAAGCUCGUACUUUCAAGGAAUGUACAUUAUCAUGGAGGGUGGGGAAAAAUAAAAAAAAUACUUAACACCUGUCAAAUGCUGUCUUUUAGUCUUAGAUCACUUUGGUCGGAGGGAGGUAAGAUUGCAAGUAGACAUCAGUUAGGAGCUUGUUGGGAUAAUUUAGAGAAGACACGAUUGUUGUCUGAUACCAGGUAGUGGCAGAGUGAAUAGAGAUCAGUGAAUACAUUUAAAAAACAUUAGUGUGGUAGAAUAAUGACACUUGGUGAUUGAUGGGUAUAGGGAGGAAGAGGAAAAAAAAAGAAGGAAUCAAAAAUUACAGCUAGGAUUCUGACUUAGGCAUCAGGAUAAUGGUGAUGCUAGUCACUGAGACUGGAAUAUAGGAGAAGGAGGGACUGGUUUGGAAAGAAGAUGAGGGGAUCAGUUUUGGACCCUGGGGGUUUGAGACGCCCAAAGAACACACGAGUGACAAUGUCCAAGAGGCAAUUUUGUAUACAGGAGGAACUUUAGCCAGGUGGAAACUAUCUCGGGGAUGAGAGCAAAAGCAUUCAGAGGAAAAGGAGGUAGAAGCAGAAACCAAGCUAUUCUUCCAGGAGACGGAGUGAGCUUGUGUAGGCAGCUUGAGAAGGAGAUGAAGAGCAGGGGAAGUUUUUAUUAGAUGGUGGUGAAAGUGGCAUUUUUGAAGCCGAGGGAAAGCAGCCAGUGGGAGUAGAGAGACUAGACACGUAUCACAAGGAUGGCUGAUGGGGCAAGUUCCUGCUGGGUGCAGGAGGCAAGAAGUGGUCAUGAAAAUCACUUAUCAUUUCACCACGGGAAAAAAAUGACAUCAUUUAUAUAGCCAUCCAUUCACUGGCUCAGUAAUUAUUUAUUGAGUACCUUCUACAUGCCAGGCACUGGUCCUGGUGCUGGGAAUGAGCCAGAAAAAAACCCCUCACCCUAUUUUAUGUAAGUUCAGGAGCUUACAACAAAACCCAAACCAAAUACAAAGAAAAACUUGGUCGUUGCCAGGCCAAGGCUAAAGAAGGCAUGGUCUUGGCAGAAAGGUGAGUUACUGCAAGGUACGAGAGCCCCUCAGCAGGGAUUCUGCCCGCACAAGCAACAGCUGGGACCAGGAACCUGGAAUUCAAAUAUCGCCUUGAUGUGAGAGGAAAUCUUAAUCUCAACAAUGAGAUUAGAGGAAUCUCUUUGCAGAGAUUCUAUAAACAAUUAGAGGAAUCUCUUGUGGGCGUGCUGUGCUUGAUGUACUCAGACUCAAUAAAGACAAAUGACGGCAAGCAACGGACAAUGGCUAAUUCUCUUCAACAUCAAUAAACUUGAUAUCUGAACCUUCAGUCCUCUGAAAAGCAAAUCUCUGUUUCUUCUCUUUAAUUCCCCAACUCAACUGAUUCUGCUUAAUUGCUGCCUAAAAGGACUAAACCCAUCAAGUCGUGUUUAGCUCUAACCCCAUUAGAGUUCUUAACAGUCAUUAACUAAUGCGGUUCUUUGAAAGGGCAUGAGGAAGUCCAAGGAGGUACAUCUUGUAGUCUUGCACUCGAUUCUGAAAUGUUCCCCUUGUGGGCAGCCUGGAAAGGACUUAAUGCUGUGUGAUCCAGGACUACAGCACAUGUUAGGUAGGAGGUAGGCUUCCAGAACUAGGGAGGAGAAGGGUUGAAUUUAUGCAUGGGUAUUCACAGAAAGUUUGGGGGGGGAAGGGGGGGGUUGGAAGUCACUGGGUGAAAAGUUCUUAUUUGACAAGAUGUAAAAAUGACCCAUCACAAGGCCAGUUGUUGGACGCUCGGCUUGGAACUCUGGUGUCCUGAAACCCCACCUAGCAUUGUUUUCCCUCAUGCCAGGUUACCAUAUUCCAUAGUCAGUUAAGUUUUCAAAUAAGUAAGUUUCCCAGUGAAAAAUGAUCACUGGGAGGGGGGAGGGGGAAAGACGGUUGGCUUUUAUGGCAAAUUUCCCAUGUGGAAUGGCUGAAUAAAUGCUGCAUCAAAGAAACUUCCAACAUCUGACUGCAAAUCUCCAUCUAAGACCACAAAAUAAAAAGUUCUCAAUAAAGGAAGAGACAUCUUUGUCAUUGACAUUGUGGAUUAUUCAGGUUUCUUUGUUUCUCCCUGACACCUACUUUUACCUUACUUCAUUUUUACCCUCUAACCAUUUCAGUACCCAACACAAGCCAAAUUCUGGAAGGGAGUUCGAUGAGGAGAAUAAAAUAAAAAUUAUUAUUUAAAUUGAGACGUGGGGAUUUUCUGUGGAUAAUUGUCCAUGUUGCAUCUUACCAAAGAAAAUAUGAAUUUCACUUAGGAUAUAAAGUAAUUCUCUCUGAAAGUGUGGGAUGGAAGAGAUCAGUCCUGAGUACUAGAAAUCUAUUUGUCCCUCAGGAAAUUCUUGCCCACCGAACGCAUGAGGCUAGGAUGACAUAUAUUAGGAGCGUAUUAAAUUUUAUUCUAACACUGAUGGGAGGGAAAAAAUGAAGGAAAGAAAAAUGAAGCAGGGUGAAGAAUAAGGUGAUUGAGAGAAAAGAAAAGACAGAGAAACUUGUUAAUUACAGGACUUUCUGAACAAGAUUUUUUUUUUCCCCUUUCACAAGAUAGAAGCUAUUGAAUAAUUCAUGCCAAGCGUGGAAAGGCUGCCUUUUCCCUGGGUGAUGUAUAAGUGAGCACGAGAGAGCUUCGUGUGGGUUCACCACAUCAGCCACCACUCUUGCUUCUGAGCACAGGGUGCUCUCCUCUUGAGCUCAGCUUCUGCUUUUGCAGCCAAGCAUCCUUCCUUCUGCUGCCUGCCUGCCCACCCUUCUGGGCUUGCAGCCUUCUCCAGCCCUGCUGCCAGCUGAGAAACCUCCCUGCAGCUGCUGGGUUCUGCCUAGGACCAUGUGUGUGGAUGUUGCUCGGGAGAAGCAAGCACUUGCUCCUGGCACUGAUCCCAGCUGAGUUUCUCCUGUUGAUUUUGGGACCACAGAUGCUGCUGCUGAGGAGGUAUUUCCUGGCAUCCCUGCCUCCGCUACUGCCAGCUAAGGACCAGCCCAAAAGUAAGGUAUCCCCCAACCCCUCUCCCCUGGCAUUUUCUCCAGCUGGGAUAUCUCUGCUUUGCUUUCUCUUGGAAACUGGGGGCUCCAUCUGGCAAUAUUCCCAACUCUCUCUCUCUCUCUCUCCCUGUGUGUGUGUGUGUGUGUGUGUGUGUGUGUGUGUGUGGUGUUUGGGGGGAGAUGGGGAGACUCUUGGUAUUGCUCUGUCCCAGGGCUUCCCUGGUUCCUGCUGAAUGUAAAGAGGCCUUUCCCCUGGCACUGGAGACAUUUCCGAGGCAGGCACCUGUCAUCUGCCACCCCCGUUCUUCUCGAGCUCCUUCUCUCCCCCUCCCCCAGCCCAUUAUUCUGCUCCAGCCUUUUGUGUCGGUGGCAGAGGGCUGAAGGGAUGUCUUUGCCCUCCCUGCAGGUGGGUGUCAGGAUGGGCCGCGCGGUGAGAAGCUGAUGCUAUCAAGCGAGGUGUGAAGAGUUGGCCAGAAUGACCAACUCCUCCUCCACGUCCACCUCCUCCACCACCGGGGGAUCGCUGCUGCUGCUCUGCGAGGAAGAGGAGUCGUGGGCGGGCCGGCGCAUCCCCGUGUCCCUUCUGUACUCGGGCCUGGCCAUCGGGGGCACGCUGGCCAACGGCAUGGUCAUCUAUCUCGUGUCGUCCUUCCGAAAGCUGCAGACCACCAGCAACGCCUUCAUCGUGAACGGCUGCGCCGCGGACCUCAGCGUCUGCGCCCUCUGGAUGCCGCAGGAGGCGGUGCUCGGGCUCCUGCCCACCGGCUCGGCGGAGCCCCCCGCGGACUGGGACGGCGCCGGCGGCAGCUACCGCCUGCUGCGGGGAGGGCUGCUAGGCCUCGGGCUCACCGUGUCCCUCCUGUCCCACUGCCUGGUGGCCCUGAACCGCUACCUGCUCAUCACCCGGGCGCCUGCCACCUACCAAGCGCUGUACCAGCGGCGCCACACGGCGGGCAUGCUGGCGCUCUCCUGGGCGCUCGCCCUGGGCCUCGUGCUGCUGCUCCCGCCCUGGGCGCCGCGGCCCGGUGCCGCGCCCCCGCGCGUCCACUACCCGGCGCUGCUGGCCGCCGCGGCGCUGCUGGCGCAGACGGCGCUGCUGCUGCACUGCUACCUGGGCAUCGUGCGCCGCGUGCGCGUCAGCGUCAAGCGGGUCAGCGUCCUCAACUUCCACCUGCUGCACCAGCUGCCCGGCUGCGCCGCCGCCGCCGCCGCCUUCCCGGGCGCCCCGCACGCGCCGGGCCCGGGGGGAGCCGCGCACCCGGCGCAGGCCCAGCCCCUGCCGCCCGCGCUGCACCCGCGGCGGGCGCAGCGCCGUCUCAGCGGCCUGUCGGUGCUUCUGCUCUGCUGCGUCUUCCUGCUGGCCACGCAGCCGCUGGUGUGGGUGAGCCUGGCCAGCGGCUUCUCGCUGCCCGUGCCCUGGGGCGUGCAGGCGGCCAGCUGGCUCCUGUGCUGCGCCCUGUCCGCGCUCAACCCGCUGCUCUACACGUGGAGGAACGAGGAGUUCCGUCGCUCGGUGCGCUCCGUCCUGCCCGGCGUCGGCGACGCGGCGGCGGCCGCCGCUGCCGCCACGGCCGUGCCCGCGGUGUCCCAGGCGCAGCUGGGCACCCGCGCCGCCGGCCAGCACUGGUGACCCGGCGGGGCCCCGAGGGAAGCGGAGAUGCCGAGAUGCCGACGUCAGCGUGGCCUCCUGCUCUCGUCAAGUACCCUCUGCCUGAACGAAGACUCCUGCUGGCCGAGCCCGAUAAAUCGGGAAAUCCGAAAGUCAAAACACCGGAAACUUCAAGAACUUGCACACCGACCUUUCAAAAGAGCAG